rnacentral:rRNA from 1 species
UACGGGGGGGGCAAGCGUUGUUCGGAAUUACUGGGCGUAAAGGGCGUGUAGGCGGCCAACUAAGUCCGACGUGAAAUCCCCAGGCUUAACCUGGGAACUGCGUCGGAUACUGGAUGGCUUGAAUCCGGGAGAGGGAUGCAGAAUUCCAGGUGUAGCGGUGAAAUGCGUAGAUAUCUGGAGGAAUACCGGUGGCGAAGGCGACAUCCUGGACCGGCAUUGACGCUGAAGCGCGAAAGCUAGGGGAGCAAACGGG